GAUCUAAAUAUAAAAGUGGUGCUUUCAGUGUUUUUGGCAGAUAGUGUUCCAUAACCUUUCCAUCAGAAGGGAUUUUAGACACCUUAGAGGUCCGUGCUACAUCUUCACAGUUCCUCCGAAUAACCUUAGGUGGUAGUGUUACUUGCCUUUGACACCUGUGCAUAUGUUUUAAUGACUAGAUCCAAACUGUGUUGUUCUUAAAUCAAAAAUUGGAUAAUUUUUAAUAUUUAUGUAUUAAUCACACAGUGUGCUCUCUGAAGUUCUCUUAAGCCUUCAGUUUAUACUCUUAAUUUUCUUUCUGAGCUGGGGAACUGACUUUGCACUUUGGUUACACAGAACAUUGGUUUCCAAUUUAGUUUAACUGAAAUUUGCUGCUGAUAUGUUGAGUUUGUUCUUUAAAAAAUAUCUCAUAUAUCUCGUCUUUCCUCCUUAGAAGAACAGACCUAACUAGCGAAUGUAUGAAUGAAAAUGCAUCUAUUUCAGAGCCGACAUGAAGAGUUUAGUUUUUUUACUUUAUAAACUGUGAAUAUGAGUAUGCCAGCUGCAUUAGAUGUAACUAAUCAUAUUUAAAUAUAUUUCACUUUGACUUUAGACCUUUUGAAGUCUGUAUAAACUUGUUUUGAAAUACAGUCUCCACUUACGAAUGUCAUAACAAAAUACUUUUUUGCAUGAUAAAAAAUUACUUUGAUUACAAAAGGCAUAUUCUUUCAUGGUUUCUGCAAUGAGAGGAAGUGUAAUGAUUAUUUUAAUAUUUCUAUUAAAACUGUAUAUUUUUAUGGCUGCUCUUUUAUGUUACCCACUGU
rnacentral:lncRNA from 1 species